rnacentral:rRNA from 1 species
UACGUAGGGUGCAAGCGUUGUCCGGAAUCAUUGGGCGUAAAGCGCGUGUAGGCGGUCCGGUAAGUCCGCUGUGAAAGUCGGGGGCUCAACCCUCGAAUGCCGGUGGAUACUGUCGGGCUAGAGUGCGGAAGAGGCGAGUGGAAUUCCUGGUGUAGCGGUGAAAUGCGCAGAUAUCAGGAGGAACACCGGUGGCGAAGGCGGCUUGUUGGGCCAGUUCUGACGCUGAGGAGCGAAAGCGUGGGGAGCGAACAGG